GCGAUAAGUGGCAUGGAGAAAAAUGAAGCAGGAAAGGAGACCAGGGAGUGCUGUGAGGCAGUGAGAGGCCACCAUUUGUAAUAGGAUGGCCAGGAAGACUUUCCCGUGAAGGUGACAUCUGAGCAGAACAACUGAAGGAGAGGAAGGAGUGAGCCAGGUAGACUUUGGAGGAAGAACAUUCUAGGCAGAGGGAAAAAAAAAUGCCAAGUUGCUAAGGAAGAGGCGAGUUUGGCAUGUUUGAGGAAUAGCAAGGAGGCCGAUGUGGCUAGAGUAGAGCGCACAGGCAGAAGUCAGAGAUGGCUUGGCCAUGGGUUGGGGAGAUGGCAGACCUGUAGGAAUCUGUUGGCUCCCAACCAAGGGACUUGGACUUGGACUAAGUGGGUGGGAAGCUGGGGAAGGGAUGUAAGCAGAGCAGUGAUAUGAUUGUGUAGAAGGACCAUGUGGCUGUAGGGAGACAGGCUCAGCAUCAAAGACAGAAACAAUAAAUCAUGGUGGCAUGGGCUAGAAUGGUGGCCAUGGAGGAAGUUGAGACCAUCCUAGCUAACACGGUGAAACCCCGUCUCUACUAAAAAUACAAAAAAUUAGCCGGGCGUGGUGGCAGGCACC
rnacentral:lncRNA from 1 species